AUUGAACGCUGGCGGCAGGCCUAACACAUGCAAGUCGAGCGGAUGAAGGGAGCUUGCUCCUGGAUUCAGCGGCGGACGGGUGAGUAAUGCCUAGGAAUCUGCCUGGUAGUGGGGGAUAACGUCCGGAAACGGGCGCUAAUACCGCAUACGUCCUGAGGGAGAAAGUGGGGGAUCUUCGGACCUCACGCUCUCAGAUGAGCCUAGGUCGGAUUAGCUAGUUGGUGGGGUAAAGGCCUACCAAGGCGACGAUCCGUAACUGGUCUGAGAGGAUGAUCAGUCACACUGGAACUGAGACACGGUCAAGACUCCUACGGGAGGCAGCAGUGGGGAAUAUUGGACAAUGGGCGAAAGCCUGAUCCAGCCAUGCCGCGUGUGUGAAGAAGGUCUUCGGAUUGUAAAGCACUUUAAGUUGGGAGGAAGGGCAGUAAGUUAAUACCUUGCUGUUUUGACGUUACCAACAGAAUAAGCACCGGCUAACUUCGUG
rnacentral:rRNA from 1 species